CCCUUAGAUGUUCUGGGCUGCACGCGCGCUACACUGAAGCUAUCAACACGUUUUCCCUCCCUGAGAAGGGCGGGUAACCUUUUGAAUCAGCUUCGUGGUAGGGAUCGGGGCUUGCAACUGUUCCCCGUGAACCAGGAAUUCCUAGUAGACGCGAGUCAUAAGCUCGCAUCGAUUAAGUCCCUGCCCUUUGUACACACCGCCCGUCGCUACUACCGAUUGAACGUUUUAGUGAGGCAUUUGGACCGACGCAUCUCAGUUUAACCGCUGGUUUGUGUUGGAAAGACUUCCAAACUUGAGCGUUUAGAGGAAGUAAAAGUCGUAACA
rnacentral:rRNA from 1 species